ACACAGGGGUGCCUUCGGGCUGAGAUCAUACCCUCGAACCUGAUCCGGACAAUGCCGGCGUAGGAAGUUUAGG
rnacentral:ncRNA from 1 species